ensembl:lncRNA
GUUCUGUAACAAUAUGAUACAAAGCAGACCUUGAGAAAUUCCAAUAUGGUCUAUAAGAGGUACACAGAGAGAAACAUUGUUGUUCAGAAGAAGCAAUAUUCUUUUCCAGCUGAGAGGUAACAGGAGGAAAGCCUCAAAGAAGGACUAUCUGAGGCACUAUUCUUCCGGAGAGCAGAAAACGAUCUAGACUUUUCCAUAUAUGUGUUAAACAGCUUAUAGCCAGUAAGAAAAAAUAAUAAUUUAAUACUCUAAAAACGUCAAGACCAAGAUGGCAAGUUAGAAGUAUUCAGCUGGAUGAUCAAAGGAGCACCUGAAUCAUGAACACACCCAUCUGACUGCCACUAACCACUGCACUUGUUCAGUUCCUAAGGGAAAUACUGGGUAGAGCACAACAUUUGUGAAAAGUGGAUUUGGGAGGUAACUAUGGAAAGAUGUGUUCAGGAUAGAAUCCUUUCUGAUAAUUUUUAACUCCAAUUUCUGAGAGAAAGGAGACUGGACAAUGUCAGACCUGGCUAUGGGAUUUGUGAAGCAGAAAGGAGAUCCUAUUCAAGCAAAGCGAAAUAGGGGAGGAGGGUGAAGGGAAUUAGGAAACUAACUAAGGCAUGGAAAAUCCCUGGUUGCCUAGUGGUUAGGAUUCCAGGCUUUCACUGCCAUGGGCUGGGUUAAAUCCGAUGCACUGAGAAUUGCAUACACGGUCCGGGAACUGAGAUGCAUGAUAAAAAAAAAAAAAAAAGGAAAGAAAGAAAGAAGAAACUAAACAGGGCAGGAAGUGAAGUGAAGUGAAAGUCACUCAGUCGUGUCCAACUCUUUGCAACCCCAUGGACUAUAUAGUCCAUGGAAUUCUCCAGACCAGAAUACUGGAGUGGAUAGCCUUUCCAAAAUCACUGUAGAUGGUGACUGCAGCCAUGAAAUUAAAAGAUGCUUACUCCUUGGAAGGAAAGUUAUGACCAACCUAGACAGCAUAUUAAAAAGCAGAGACAUUACUUUGCCAACAAAAAUCCGUCUAGUCAAGGCUAUGGUUUUUCCAGUGGUCAUGUAUGGAUGUGAGAGUUGGACUAUAAAGAAAGCUGAGUACUGAAGAAUUGAUGCUUUUGAACUGUGUUGUUGGAGAAGACUUUUGAGAGUCCCUCGGACUGCAAGAAGAUCCAACCAGACCAUCCUAAAGGAGAUCAGUCCUGAGUGUUCAUUGGAGGGACUGAUGCUGAAGCUUAAACUUCAAUACUUUGGCUACAUGUUGCGAAGGACUGACUGAUUGGAAAAGACCCUGAUGCUGGGAAAGAUUGAAGGUGGGAGGAGAAGGGGACGACUGAGGAUGAGAUGGUUGGAUGGCAUCACUGACUCAAUGGAGAUGAGUUUGGGUAAACUCCAGGUGUUGGUGAUGGACAGGGAGGCCUGGUGUGCAGUCCUUGGGGUUGCAAAGAUUCAGACACAACUGAGCAACUGAACUGAACUGAGCCUUUCCCCUUCUCCAGGGGAUCUUCCCAACCCAGGGAUUGAACCCAGGUCUCCCACAUUUCAGGCGUAUUCUUUACCAGCUGAGCCACAAGGGAAGCCCAAACAGGGCAGUAAUAGAGUAGCAAAGGGAAGGUGAGAUGUAGAGAGUUGGAGGAGGCCUUUUCAGGGCCUCGUGUGUCAAAGGAGACUAGCUGUGCCUAUUCCCUUCACAUGAGUCUUUUUCACCCCACAUUCUAUAAGGAAUGAAAAGUAUAAAUGGAGAUACAUAAAUAAAAAUGAGCUCUUUGUUAUGCUGCUCUGCAUGGAGCACAAUAUCUAUGUUGGAUUUGUGUAUUUGAAAAUCGAGGCUUUUCAAGUAGUGAUGAUUUAAAAAUCAAUGAAUCAUUUAUGCCUCUGCUCAGUCUGUCUUCCAGCCUCUGGCUGCUGACUCACCUACGAGAAUCUUCUUCCCCAGCCUCAUCUAUGUUAGGCAGGCUUGUUUUUGCCUUUGCAGGCCCUACACACUCUUUCUGGUGAAGGCUUCAGCCGGCAUCAUAUUAAACAUAUUAAAAUGCGUCCUCAUCCUGCAUUAAAAAUUUAUAUUUUUGCUAUAAAUUUUUGAAAGGGCUUUUGUAAUUUUGCUCUUGAAAUUAUGUGUCUGUGCAUAACUAAUUUAAUUUAUAAUGGCUGUGAUUUCUCCAUAAUCAUUGUGCAUACUUGGAAAUUCUUGGGAAGUCAGAAGAUCUAACCUAAAAAUUGCUUUCAAAGACAAUAAACUUUUUUAAUAAAUGUAAAAUUAAAUAAUUAAUGAACUUGAUAGAAUGUUAUAUUUUGUGUCC